UACGUAGGGUGCAAGCGUUAAUCGGAAUUACUGGGCGUAAAGCGUGCGCAGGCGGUUAUGUAAGACAGAUGUGAAAUCCCCGGGCUCAACCUGGGAACUGCAUUUGUGACUGCAUAGCUGGAGUACGGUAGAGGGGGAUGGAAUUCCGCGUGUAGCAGUGAAAUGCGUAGAUAUGCGGAGGAACACCGAUGGCGAAGGCAAUCCCCCUGGACCUGUACUGA
rnacentral:rRNA from 1 species